GUCUGUUGGCUGUGCUGUGAGGAGAGAUGGAGUUUGUGUCUGUACUGUGAAGGUGUCAGUGCUGUGAGGAGCUGUCCAUGAGAAAUCACUGAUAAGGCUGUAGGUUUGUCCUGGACCUGACACUGGUGGUGCAAAAGAGGCACUGAAACUGAAUACUAAUGCAGAGAACUCUUCACACCCACAGACUCCGUGGUCAGCUAGUGUCUAGCUUUGUUUUUAACCCUUGAAGAAACGCAUGCUCAGGAAACUGAGGAGCGUUAUGAAGACAUUUGAGCUGGUAACUGAGUGCUAAAGUCUUGUCUGAUGGCUGCUUAGCUGAGGGAGAAGAGAUUUGAUCGCUUGUGGAAUUCCCCCUGCCUCAGCCCACGUGGAUGGGCAGUGAGCAGCAUUCCCUCCUGGCUUGGCAGCUCUGGUCCAUACUCAACACAGUGACUUCAGUGCCUUUGUCAGCAGUGUCUGCUGGAGCACUGGAGGCUCACCACUGUCCCCUGGGAAUGUGGGACAGCAGUGGCUUAUAAAAGCAUAAUGCAUUCCCAGUGUGCUCCUGAGAGAA